GCUGUCGUAGCUUAACUAAAGCAUAACACUGAAGAUGUUAAGAUGGACCCUGAAACGGCCCGAGAGCA
rnacentral:tRNA from 1 species